rnacentral:tRNA from 1 species
UGGAAUGUGGCUUAGUGGUAGAGUGCUUGCCUGGCAUGCAUGAAGUCCUGGGUUCAAUUCCUCAGUACCAC